GAUCAAGCGACUAAGUGUAUGUGGUGGAUGCCUUGGCGAUUACAGGCGAAGAAGGACGUCGCAGCCUGCGAAAAGCCGUGGGGAGCUGGCAAGCGAGCACUGAUCCACGGAUGUCCGAAUGAGGGAACUCACCCGCAAGGGUAUCUUGAAGUGAAUACAUAGCUUCAAGAGGCGAACGCAGCGAACUGAAACAUCUAAGUAGCUGCAGGAAAAGAAAUCAACCGAGAUUCUGAAAGUAGCGGCGAGCGAAAUUGGAAGAGCCUGCAAGUGAUAUUGAAUUCGAUACUGGAACGGUCUGGAAAGUCCGGCUACAGAGGGUGACAGCCCCGUACGGGAAAUUGGGUUCAAGGUACUGAGCUUGCGAGAAGUAGAGCGGGACACGUGAAAUCCUGCUCGAAGAUGGGGGGACCAUCCUCCAAGGCUAAAUACUCGUAAUCGACCGAUAGCGAACCAGUACUGUGAAGGAAAGGCGAAAAGAACCCCGGGAGGGGAGUGAAAUAGAUCCUGAAACCGCAUACAUACAAACAGUAGGAGCCCGCAAGGGUGACUGCGUACCUUUUGCAUAAUGGGUCAGCGACUUACGUUCAAUGGCAAGCUUAACCGAGUAGGGGAGGCGCAGCGAAAGCGAGUCCGAACAGGGCGAUAUGAGUCGUUGGGCGUAGACCCGAAACCAGAUGAUCUAUCCAUGGCCAGGCUGAAGGUGUGGUAACACACACUGGAGGGCCGAACCGACUAGUGUUGCAAAAUUAGCGGAUGAGCUGUGGAUAGG
rnacentral:ncRNA from 1 species